AAACGACUCUCGGCAACGGAUAUCUCGGCUCUCGCAUCGAUGAAGAACGUAGCGAAAUGCGAUACUUGGUGUGAAUUGCAGAAUCCCGUGAACCAUCGAGUCUUUGAACGCAAGUUGCGCCCAAAGCCAUUUGGCCGAGGGCACGUCUGCCUGGGCGUCACGC
rnacentral:rRNA from 1 species